UGCAAGUCGAGCGGAGUGAUGGUGCUUGCACUAUCACUUAGCGGCGGACGGGUGAGUAAUGCUUAGGAAUCUGCCUAUUAGUGGGGGACAACAUUUCGAAAGGAAUGCUAAUACCGCAUACGUCCUACGGGAGAAAGCAGGGGAUCUUCGGACCUUGCGCUAAUAGAUGAGCCUAAGUCGGAUUAGCUAGUUGGUGGGGUAAAGGCCUACCAAGGCGACGAUCUGUAGCGGGUCUGAGAGGAUGAUCCGCCACACUGGGACUGAGACACGGCCCAGACUCCUACGGGAGGCAGCAGUGGGGAAUAUUGGACAAUGGGCGCAAGCCUGAUCCAGCCAUGCCGCGUGUGUGAAGAAGGCCUUAUGGUUGUAAAGCACUUUAAGCGAGGAGGAGGCUACUGAAGUUAAUACCUUCAGAUAGUGGACGUUACUCGCAGAAUAAGCACCGGCUAACUCUGUGCCAGCAGCCGCGGUAAUACAGAGGGUGCAAGCGUUAAUCGGAUUUACUGGGCGUAAAGCGCGCGUAGGCGGCUAAUUAAGUCAAAUGUGAAAUCCCCGAGCUUAACUUGGGAAUUGCAUUCGAUACUGGUUAGCUAGAGUGUGGGAGAGGAUGGUAGAAUUCCAGGUGUAGCGGUGAAAUGCGUAGAGAUCUGGAGGAAUACCGAUGGCGAAGGCAGCCAUCUGGCCUAACACUGACGCUGAGGUGCGAAAGCAUGGGGAGCAAACAGGAUUAGAUACCCUGGUAGUCCAUGCCGUAAACGAUGUCUACUAGCCGUUGGGGCCUUUGAGGCUUUAGUGGCGCAGCUAACGCGAUAAGUAGACCGCCUGGGGAGUACGGUCGCAAGACUAAAACUCAAAUGAAUUGACGGGGGCCCGCACAAGCGGUGGAGCAUGUGGUUUAAUUCGAUGCAACGCGAAGAACCUUACCUGGCCUUGACAUAGUAAGAACUUUCCAGAGAUGGAUUGGUGCCUUCGGGAACUUACAUACAGGUGCUGCAUGGCUGUCGUCAGCUCGUGUCGUGAGAUGUUGGGUUAAGUCCCGCAACGAGCGCAACCCUUUUCCUUAUUUGCCAGCGAGUAAUGUCGGGAACUUUAAGGAUACUGCCAGUGACAAACUGGAGGAAGGCGGGGACGACGUCAAGUCAUCAUGGCCCUUACGGCCAGGGCUACCACCGUGCUACAAUGGUCGGUACAAAGGGUUGCUACCUAGCGAUAGGAUGCUAAUCUCAAAAAGCCGAUCGUAGUCC
rnacentral:rRNA from 1 species